AACUCUGAGCGGUGGAUCGCUCGGCUCACGGAUCGACGAAGAACGCAGCAAGCUACGAGACUUAACGUGAAUUGCAGGACGCAUUUAAACUGAGUUUUCGAAAGCUCAUUGCGGUCUCGGAAAAUAACCAAGACCUUAUUUCGAAGUCAGUCU
rnacentral:rRNA from 1 species